GGACACAGAAACUGGAGAAAGUAUUGAGGAAAAGAGUCACUUAGAAAAUGAAGAGAGCAAAGAAACUGGAGAAAUUAGUGAGGAAAAGAGUCAUUUAGAAAAUGAAGAAAGCAAAGAAACUGGAGAAAGUAGUGAGGAAAAGAGUCAUUUAGAAAAUGAAGAGAGCAAAGAAACUGGAGAAAGUAGUGAGGAAAAGAGUCAUCUAGAGAAUGAAGAGAACAAAGAUGAAGAAAAGAGUAAGCAAGAAAAUGAAGAGAUUAAAGAUGGAGAAAAGAUUCAGCAAGAGAAUGAAGAGAACAAAGAUGAAGAAAAGAGUCAGCAAGAGAAUGAAGAGAACAAAGAUGAAGAAAAGAGUCAGCAAGAGAAUGAAUUGAAGAAAAAUGAAGGGGGAGAGAAAGAAAC
rnacentral:lncRNA from 1 species